rnacentral:lncRNA from 1 species
CAGCUCAACUUCUGAUUAGUGGACUGACAGUCAAGCUGGUCAGUUUGCUUAGUCAGCAGACUCAGGUUAUUUUCAGGGAAGGCAUGGUUUGGUUAAUUUCAUCACUAGGAUGUGUAAGGUGAAGACACAAACCAAAUACCUUUCAUUACUUAACUCUACGUACAUUAUCCUUGGUAACACUAGAAUGCUGUGGUCUUGCAGGAAUGUUAGCAAGGAACACAUACAUAGAAGGCUUCGUGCUCCAUAAGCCUGUCCAGCUGUGGUGGGUUUUAUGUGGUACAAUAGUGUUUACCAUAAGCAGCAUUUGGAGCUCUCUCAGACUCAAAGUGUGAUCUCUGGCAGCAUGAGCAUCACCUGAGAGCUUGUGAGAGAUGCAGAAUCCCAGAUUGGCUGCACGCUUGUGAGAAGACUGGCUUCCUUUACAAGUGGCCUAUUGGAUGCUCCUUAUUUUGUGAAGUAUCCUCCCUCCUCAAUGGACAGGUAAGGAUCACAUCUACUGAACAAAAUUUACCUUUUUUUUUUUUUAGAUUUUAUUUAUUCAUGAGAGACAAAGAGAGAAGCAGGCUUCUCUCAUCAUGCAGAGAGCCUGAUGUGGGACUCAAUCCCGAGACUCUAGGAUCACGUCCUGGGCCGAAGGCAGGCAUUCAACUGCUGAGCCACCUGGGCGUCCCAAAAUUUACCCUUUUCUUGAUUACUAAGUUCUAAGUUGCCAAGUAAAGUUAAAUUUAGUGCCCUUGAACUUUGUUUUAGUACAGUGAUUUUAAAAACCAGUGUAUUUCUUUAAGCAUCCAGGCAAUUGAAGGGAGUGUUGUGUUUUUAGCAUGGCAAAAUACAUUUCCCAUCCCCUUCCCACCAAAAUGGGCAAGGAUGACCACUAGAGAUGUAAAAUAAAGGAAUUUUGUAAUGGCAAGAUAAAAACUGAAAAUGUACCUUUAGACUGAACAGUAGGUUGAUAGAGAUGCUUGGUGAUAUAGUAUCCUAGCAAAUAGAAAUGUCAGUUCACAGAGGACCCACUUGACUUUUUCUGGCACCCAGUAAGAAAAUCUCAUAACCCUAUAUACAUCUCAAGUGUAUAGUUCUGAAACAAGUUUUACAAAACUAAUGCUUCUGAUGUAUGAUAACACUGAUAUUUUCAAUUUGUUAAUGUUAAGACUUUUAAUAUUUAUUUAUUCAUGAAAGAGGCAGAGACAGGCAGAGAAGCAGGGAUGCAGGGAGCCUGAUGUGGGGCCCAAUCCCUUGACUCUGGGAUCACACCCUGAGCCAAAGGCAGACACUCAACCACUGAGCCACUCGGGCAUCCCAUUCUUAAGACUCUUAAUUUUAUGACCUGCCAAUAGGUCAAAAUCCAGAGUUUUAAAAACCUUGCAUUAAGGGAUAAUGAAUGGUAGAAUGAUCUAUCCGCAAAGCUACUUUGAAAUCCCUGUCAAUAGAACAUGAUAGAAAGUAUUUUAUUCAUUCUUUAAAAAAGGGCGGGGGGGGGAUUUUAUUUAUUCAUGAGAGAUACAGAAAGAGAGGCAGAGACAUAGGCAGAGGGAGAGGUAGGCUCCAUGCAGAGAGCCCGAUGUGGGAGUUGAUCCGGGGACUCCAGGAUCACGAGGCCCUGAGCCAAAGGUAGACGCUCAACCACUGAGCCCCCUAGGGGUCCUUUAUUCAUUCUUAAAAACAAAAACAAAAAACAGCUUUCAAAAAAAAACUUUUCCUUGUAGUGGGGUGCUUCUUACACUCCAAUGAGUCUUCCAUGCUAACAAAUGUAAUAUACCUAAACAUUAAGUAUUGUCUAAGCAAGAACUCCUGUGUGUCAGAGAAAAAAUUUAACUUUUCUUGGGAAAGUCAAAGUGCAUCAUCAGGCUUGUGCAAUAGAAUUCUUUAGUCUAAUAACUCAAACAGGUGUGUAUGUUAAACGCAGAAUACAUUUAACAUAUAGUGGUAUGGCACCUUCAAUCAUUCAACAUGGGAUUUUUUGAAGUGCCAGGUGCUGAGAGAAAACAGGGUACUCAGCCUCCUGGAGUUUAGGGACUGCUCAUAGGUAGAGAAAAGUAGAGCACCAAGCACCAAGGCCCUUCUAGUGAGAUUAGUUCCCACUAGUGAGCUAACUCCCAGAAGACAGAUGAGAGGGAGCAGAAGGGAAAUGUGUAGUAAGUUGCGUAUUUUUAAGUCCCACUCUGGCUAUAGUUAGGAUGAGAGGUAACAGGAGAGGAUGGGGUUAGAGCAGUGGAGGCUAGUACAGUAAGUAAGUAAAGUGAAUGUUGAGUAUUAGAGGGUCUGUAUAGCAUUGUGAACAAGACAGGUAUGGUCUCAGUAAGGGCCAAGAUAAUGUGAGAGUGAGAAAUACAAUGAAAAACCAGCAAGGAGAUGUUUUUGUUAUAAAAUGUCAGUGCUCUGAACCCUUUUUUUUUUUUUUUUUUUUUUUAUGAUAGUCACACAGAGAGAGAGAGAGAGGCAGAGACACAGGCAGAGGGAGAAGCAGGCUCCAUGCACCGGGAGCCUGACGUGGAAUUUUUUUUUUUUUUAAUUUUUAUUUAUUUAUCAUAGUCACAGAGAGAGAGAGAGGCAGAGACACAGACAGAGGGAGAAGCAGGCUCCAUGCACUGGGAGCCCGAUGUGGGAUUCGAUCCCGGGUCUCCAGGAUCGCGCCCUGGGCCAAAGGCAGGCGCCAAACCGCUGCGCCACCCAGGGAUCCCUUGGAAUUUGAUCCCGGGUCUCCAGGAUCGCACCCCAGGCCAAAGGCAGGCACUAAACCGCUGCGCCACCCAGGGAUCCCUCUGAACCCUUUUGUAAUUCAGAGAAGCAAUAAGGUGGGGUCUCUUAAGUGUGGGCUUCCUUGCUCUGGUGUUCUAAAAUACAUUCCCAAGUCUUCUGUUGUUUACCUUUUCUAGAAGGGUGAAUUUUUAACUUCACACUCUCCUGUUGGUCUCUACACUAUGUGGGCUGUGUGAUUUUUAUGCCAAUUUCUAGUCAGGAGGGAUCUUUUUAACUCCACUUGAAAAUUGCAUUCAGCUACUGUCUCAGGGGCCAUCAUGCAAGUAAAGGGCUUUGAUGUUGUUUCAAACCCCUCUAAGAGAAAAGGGCUCUUUAAAAGGAAGCCUGUUAUUUGACAGUGUUCAAAACUAAUCAUUUCAGGAGCUUUUCUCCCCUUCUGAACAGGUUAGAAAUGCAUUUUAGAUUUCCUCUCAUUCUUAAGACCAUGUUGCUUUUAGUUGUUUUAGAUCAGUGAGCUAAUCAGCUCUUUAGGUAUUUCACAGGAAAUUACUAAAUUGUCCUGAAAGCUUUGAGAGGUAGUUUGGAGAAUUUGGGCCGAUGGCUUUUUGGCUUUCCUAGUGUGUACCAGUUAGCCGCAUGUGAGGAGCAGGGUCUUGGGUUUGUAUGGUGGCUUCCUGCCAUCAGGGGCCCAGGCUCCUGUCAUUCUCCACAUGUAGCCUGUUUUACCUUCACAUGUGGCCUGUUUUACCUCUUUGUUAGUCAUAACUGUGCUCCAGGCAGGAAGGAGGAAGAAGGGAGUGGAAAAAGAAGCAGCUUCCAGUUGAAUUAGCCCCUUUGAACAGUCUUUCCUGGAAGCUCCACCCAGUGAUUUAUUAGCCACACUUAGCUGCAGGGAAGUCUGGGAAAUGUCUGGGCACAUCACCACCUGUAAUACCAUGAGGGUUGUGGUAGUAAGGAAGAAAGGGAGAACGGUUGUUAGAAAAGCAAUCUGAAGUUUCUGCCACACUUACCUGUGCCUUUGAGCCGGGAAACAGAUGAAAUUUCACUCAUGUAAAAGAAUUAAGCCAUCUGCACCUGCCCUGAGAUAUUAGACAAAUGAAGAGUUAGCUGACACUGAACCAUCUUCUUGAGCAGCAUUUCUUGGCCCCUAGUGGUAUUUGUGUUAGAAGCAGGGCCCUCACCCUAACUUCAGACAGGAUCUCAAUUGUUUGAUUUCAGAGCAGGUGGUGACCUUUGUUCUCUACCUUGGGCUGCAUAGGUGUAAAAAAAAAAUGGUUUUGAGGUGCUUAUAUUUCUGAUGGCACAGCAUAACAUAAGCAUAACAGUUGUCGAAUCACUAUGUCAUACAGCUAAAACUAGCAUUGUGUGUCAACCAUACUUUAGUUAAAGAAACAUAUUAAACAUAGCAGAGCAGAUAAGCAUUUGGGCUAUAGGUUUAGACCUGAGUUCAAAUCUUAAUCCACUAGGUUCUCCUGUGAUCUUGGGCAAACAUUUGAAACUUCCUGUGCCUUAGUUUUCUCAUCUGUAAAGAAGAAUGGUAAUAGUUCCUAC